GGUUAAUGAUUAGUGCAGCAACGUAGAAAAUAAGAGAGAUCAGGAAUAGAUAGGCACUACGGUAUUUAAGCGCCGUUGCACCCAAACACAAGAUGGCCAACAGGACACAGUUCGCGUGACCCACAAUAUGCAAGUAGAACUUGGCCACUCCAUGGGAUGGGCAAAGUCCGGCAGAUCUUCAAUGAAUUUUCGGGUCGUCGCAUCGCGUUUACUCAGAUGACUCAUAUAGUGUCCAGAGAUACCCAGCUCCACCACUGGCCCGUCAAAGUUGCCAUCGUCCUUCUGCAAAAUUCCACAGGCGAAUUGUCGCUGCCAUAGCCGAAGAAUAUGUGAUAUGGCGGCUUGUAGACCGAUGGAUUGUCCAGCAUUCCCUUGAGGAACGACCAGCUGAGCAUCCUUACUCCAUCCCGAGGCUGUACAAAGAAAC